UACCGAUAGGUGGUUUUACAAGUCAGAAGUGAAAUCUCAAAGCUCAACUUUGAGACUGUCUUUUGAAACUGUAAAACUAGAGGGGCAAAGAGGAAGCUGGAACGAACGGUGUAGUAGUGAAAUGCGUUGAUAUCGUUCGGAACACCAAUAGCGUAGGCAAGCUUCUGGGUGCCACCUGACACUGCUAGGACGAAAGCGUGGGGAGCGAAUGGGAUUAGAUACCCCAGUAGUCCACGCUGUAAACGAUGAUGAUUAGGUGCUAGAGAGUAUCGACCCUCUUUAGUACCAUAGCUAACGCGUUAAAUCAUCCGCCUGGGGAGUACGGCCGCAAGGCUAAAACUCAAAGGAAUUGACGGGGACCUGCACAAGCGGUGGAGCAUGUGGUUUAAUUCGACGGUAAGCGAGGAACCUUACCAAGUCUUGACAUAUACCUGCAUAUUUUGGAAACAGAAUAGCCUUCGAGGGUGGUAUACAGGUGAUGCACGGUUGUCGUCAGCUCGUGCCGUGAGGUGUUCACUUAAGUGUGAAAACGAGCGCAACUCCUAUCAUGAGUUACAAGUGUCUCAUGAAACUGCCGGCGUUUAAGCCGGAGGAAGGCGGGAAUGACGUCAAAUCAGCGUGUCUCUUACGACUUGGGCGACACGCGUGCUACAAUGGGAAGGACAAAGGGACGCCAAGGAGCAAUCCGGAGCAAAUCCUAUCAAUACUUCCCCCAGUUCGGAUUGAGGGCUGCAACUCGCCCUCAUGAAGCCGGAAUCGCUAGUAACCGU
rnacentral:rRNA from 1 species